GACGAACGCUGGCGGCGUGCUUAACACAUGCAAGUCGAACGGAAAGGCCCUGCUUUUGUGGGGUGCUCGAGUGGCGAACGGGUGAGUAACACGUGAGUAACCUGCCCUUGACUUUGGGAUAACUUCACGAAACUGGGGCUAAUACCGGAUAGGAUCUCCUGCUGCAUGGUGGGGGUUGGAAAGUUUCGGCGGUUGGGGAUGGACUCGCGGCUUAUCAGCUUGUUGGUGGGGUAGUGGCUUACCAAGGCUUUGACGGGUAGCCGGCCUGGGAGGGUGGACGGCCACAUGGGGCCUACGGUACGGCCCAGACUCCUACGGGAGGCAGCAGUGGGGAAUAUUGCACAAUGGGCGGAAGCCUGAUGCAGCAACGCCGCGUGCGGGAUGACGGCCUUCGGGUUGUAAACCGCUUUCGCCUGUGACGAAGCGUGAGUGACGGUAAUGAGUAAAGAAGCACCGGCUAACUACGUG
rnacentral:rRNA from 1 species